CCUACGGGAGGCAGCAGUGAGGAAUAUUGGUCAAUGGGCGCGAGCCUGAACCAGCCAAGUAGCGGGAAGGAUGACUGCCCUACGGGUUGUAAACUUCUUUUAUAAAGGAAUAAAGUGAGGCACGUGUGCCUUUUUGUAUGUACUUUAUGAAUAAGGAUCGGCUAACUCCGUGCCAGCAGCCGCGGUAAUACGGAGGAUCCGAGCGUUAUCCGGAUUUCUUGGGUUUAAAGGGAGCGUAGAUGGGUUGUUAAGUCAGUUGUGAAAGUUUGCGGCUCAACCGGAAAAUUGCACUUGAUACGGGCAGCCUUGAGUCCCGUUGCGGUCGGCGGACUUCGUGGUGUAGCGGU
rnacentral:rRNA from 1 species